rnacentral:rRNA from 1 species
UGAUUAGCUUGUUGGCGGGGUAACGGCCCACCAAGGCGACGAUCAGUAGGGGUUCUGAGAGGAAGGUCCCCCACAUUGGAACUGAGACACGGUCCAAACUCCUACGGGAGGCAGCAGUGAGGAAUAUUGGUCAAUGGGCGAGAGCCUGAACCAGCCAAGUAGCGUGCAGGAUGACGGCCCUAUGGGUUGUAAACUGCUUUUAUAAGGGAAUAAAGUGAGUCUCGUGAGACUUUUUGCAUGUACCUUAUGAAUAAGGACCGGCUAAUUCCGUGCCAGCAGCCGCGGUAAUACGGAAGGUCCGGGCGUUAUCCGGAUUUAUUGGGUUUAAAGGGAGCGUAGGCCGGAGAUUAAGCGUGUUGUGAAAUGUAGACGCUCAACGUCUGCACUGCAGCGCGAACUGGUUUCCUUGAGUACGCACAAAGUGGGCGGAAUUCGUGGUGUAGCGGUGAAAUGCUUAGAUAUCACGAAGAACUCCGAUUGCGAAGGCAGCUCACUGGAGCGCAACUGACGCUGAAGCUCGAAAGUGCGGGUAUCGAACAGGAUUAGAUACCCUGGUAGUCCGCACGGUAAACGAUGGAUGCCCGCUGUUGGUCUGAAUAGGUCAGCGGCCAAGCGAAAGCAUUAAGCAUCCCACCUGGGGAGUAC